AAUUGGCCGUCUGGAUUCCUUUCGAUCCAAUAUCAUUCUCAAUGUUGUCAAUCAAAACAACGAUGGGUUCUAGAAGCAUACACCAAAAUAAAUGGGAUCGAAGUCAGCAGAAGCGACUAAUAUCGCCGGAAGAUAGUUACUCCAUCGUUUGAUCUACUUUGAAGCAAAGCAUGGACUACCCAACACAUAACUGUUUGUGUUUUACUUAAUCCAAUUCCAAAUUUAGAUUGUGCUCUCACAUAGGACAAUGCUUAUCAAGGAAAUUGGAAAUUACAGCUUCUUUAUGCAGUGUUAACUUGAGUGACGGUAAACAAUAAUUCUUACGGGUGUGAAGAUUGGAAGAAGCUAAUACUUCGACUCAUGAAACUUUAGGAUAAUUUCAUGAAUAUACUCUUCAAGGUACCUAAAUAGAAGUUUCAAACUGACAGCACAAUCAAUACUACCUGAAACAUUAGUAGUUCUGCGAUUCCGAAAAGUCCUUAGCAUGUUUUCGAAUCUCUUGGUUUUCUGAUUUCAAGUAUAAAACUGGGGAACCUCCUCAAAAGUGAGUUGUCUUGCUUCUGAACAAUUUGUAUUCUGACUUGAACUUUCCAAGACGUCUUGAAGGGCUUCACAUCUCUAAGGAAGGCGUAGGAGGCAGCCAUCUCUUUGAUUAUGCGGUAAGCAAUCGAAAUUGUGUUGGUGGAAUGUGUGGUGAAUAAAACUGUGGUAUGAAAGAUUGAUAUUUAUAUGAACACAACUAAGGUCGAGGGUUUUAGAACAGAAG